rnacentral:tRNA from 1 species
GGUGAGUUACUUGAGAAGCUGUAAACUUUUCGUUUAUUUAUCACCA